rnacentral:rRNA from 1 species
UACGUAGGGUGCGAGCGUUGUCCGGAAUUACUGGGCGUAAAGGGCGCGUAGGCGGCCUUCUAAGUCGAACGUGAAAUCCCCGGGCUCAACCCGGGAACUGCGUCCGAUACUGGAAGGCUUGAAUCCGGGAGAGGGAUGUGGAAUUCCAGGUGUAGCGGUGAAAUGCGUAGAUAUCUGGAGGAACACCGGUGGCGAAGGCGACAUCCUGGACCGGUAUUGACGCUGAGGCGCGAAAGCCAGGGGAGCAAACGGGG